rnacentral:rRNA from 1 species
ACGAACGCUGGCGGCGUGCUUAACACAUGCAAGUCGAACGAUGAUGCCCAGCUUGCUGGGCGGAUUAGUGGCGAACGGGUGAGUAACACGUGAGUAACCUGCCCCUGACUCUGGGAUAAGCGUUGGAAACGACGUCUAAUACUGGAUAUGAUCGCCGACCGCAUGGUCUGGUGGUGGAAAGAUUUUUUGGUUGGGGAUGGACUCGCGGCCUAUCAGCUUGUUGGUGAGGUAAUGGCUCACCAAGGCGACGACGGGUAGCCGGCCUGAGAGGGUGACCGGCCACACUGGGACUGAGACACGGCCCAGACUCCUACGGGAGGCAGCAGUGGGGAAUAUUGCACAAUGGGCGAAAGCCUGAUGCAGCAACGCCGCGUGAGGGAUGACGGCCUUCGGGUUGUAAACCUCUUUUAGUAGGGAAGAAGCGAAAGUGACGGUACCUGCAGAAAAAGCACCGGCUAACUACGUG